rnacentral:rRNA from 1 species
UUAAAUGAGAGUUUGAUCCUGGCUCAGGACGAACGCUGGCGGCGUGCCUAAUACAUGCAAGUUGAACGCUUGAUUUUCACCGAAGCUUGCUUCACCGAAAAUCAAGAGUAGCGAACGGGUGAGUAACGCGUGGGUAACCUACCU